AAAAAUCCGAUGAACGGGAAGAGUAGAUGAUAUACUCGGAUUAUAGAGAGCCGGGGAUGGUGGAAUUCCGGUAUCCAGAGUGUCAUUGAAUGGGCCCGGGAGGAGUUGCGCGAAGCCUUAAAGUGUUUUAAGGUGUGUAGCGUUAAUCGGGAGUCUACCGUUAAAAAGACAGGGUAUCGGAGGAAUCCUUCUGUACCCGGAUGAGAUGGCUAUACAUAGGUGGCUAGCGGAUGCGAAAGCAUUUCGCCCUAAUGGGUGAAAUGCUUUUUUAGUUACCUUGGUAGCCGAAUUUGGGUGGCACCGCGAGGUACCUCGUCCCAUGG
rnacentral:ncRNA from 1 species